ACGAUCCCCAUCAAGUUUUAUCACGUCUUCAUCACCGGUAGAUCAAGCGGAAUCGGUGAAAUUAGAUACGUUUCAUGAGCUUGCGGCGAAUGAGAUGAUGCGUUGUGCAGAGCACGGUGGAGAACGGUGCGGAGGCAGUGAGCAAGCCGGAAAAUAAAAAAUGGGGGCAGAAGGUUGGAUACGUGCGAGAUACUUCGGAGAACUUGCGACAACAAAUGGUGUGAUGGAUGUAUGGGUUCUUUCCUCUCCUUAGCUGCGUAUGAUGGCUGCAGCAAUACCAGCAACAACCCCUGAGAAAGAUUUCAAUUCCUUACAAAGUUAUGUAUGCAUGUCACAAUUCAGGCCAAACACAAAAAAUUCUGUACAAGGACAAGCAACGCAAGAGAAUCCAAAAUCCGAUGAAGGAGAUAUUAAAACAAUUGGAAAUUUGUGAUUCGAGGUUCCUGUGCGUGUCAAAUUAGCUAUGUUCUUGUAAUUGUCAUUUUUUGUUUUUUUUUAAGAAACCCACUUAAGAUUCUACCAUUGGGAAAUAAGAUUGAAUAAAAACUCUAAACUUCCAUUU
rnacentral:sRNA from 1 species